rnacentral:sRNA from 1 species
UUUUAGCCCCGAUGGUAACGAUAUCUUUUUGUGGCGGACCCGAUAGCUAUCGGGAGCCACAAAAGAAUUAGUGGACAGCGGGAAUAGCU